rnacentral:rRNA from 1 species
UACGUAGGGCGCAAGCGUUAUCCGGAAUUAUUGGGCGUAAAGAGCUCGUAGGCGGUUUGUCGCGUCUGCUGUGAAAACCCGAGGCUCAACCUCGGGCCUGCAGUGGGUACGGGCAGACUAGAGUGCGGUAGGGGAGAUUGGAAUUCCUGGUGUAGCGGUGGAAUGCGCAGAUAUCAGGAGGAACACCGAUGGCGAAGGCAGAUCUCUGGCCCGAUACUGACGCUGAGGCGCGAAAGCUAGGGGAGCAAAGCGGG